AGGCGGCAUUCUGGAGAGACUCGCGCGGCCCAUACGGACACGCCGCGGGCGCCGAAGGUGAACACCCGCACACGGGCUAACUCUCAGGCAAAAGGACAGAAGGGCGGUG
rnacentral:ncRNA from 2 species